UGCCCAGGAGGAGCCCUGCGGGAAGGGGGCCGGGGAGCAGGAAGCUACAGCCCCUACAGGCCCAGCCCUGCCUAGGUGGCAUCUCCCAACCUCUCCUGACAGUGUUUGCUGGACCUGGAAAAUGCAGCUCCUGAUCGUCUGGGACAUGCCAGCACCACAGGACAGAGGGAUCCCCCGGUGUGGUUCCCCAGUGCCAGUGUUGUCUGAUUCCAGGUGAGUCAGUUCACCAUAGACCUUCCUGAAGCCUAUUGGAGAGGCAUUUUGCUAAUGCUGGGAGCAGGAAGAUGAGACAGGCAGCCACAGACUCUGCAGAUCAGGGAGCAAAUGGUCUCUCACCCUGCAGAGACAACCUUUAU
rnacentral:lncRNA from 1 species